AUACGUAGGGGGCGAGCGUUGUCCGGAAUGAUUGGGCGUAAAGGGCGCGUAGGCGGCCUGUUAAGUCUGGAGUGAAAGUCCUGUUUUCAAGAUGGGAAUUGCUUUGGAUACUGAUGGGCUUGAGUGCAGGAGAGGUUAUCGGAAUUCCCGGAGAAGCGGUGAAAUGCGUAGAUAUUAGGAGGAACACCGGUGGCGAAGGCGGCUUUCUGGACAGUAACUGACGCUGAGGCGCGAAAGCGUGGGGAGCAAACAGGAUUAGAUACCCUGGUAGUCCACGCCAUAAACGAUGAAUACUAGGUGUAGGGGGUAUCGACCCCCUCUGUGCCGACGUUAACACAUUAAGUAUUCCACCUGGGGAGUACGGCCGCAAGGCUGAAACUCAAAGGAAUUGGCGGGG
rnacentral:rRNA from 1 species